CAUAUCAACUUUUCUUACACAGGGAUAUGACAGUUUCCUGGGGAUCAAAAUCCAUCACCACUUUUACUAACUUACAAGAGACAGAUCUUGCUGGUACGCCUGAGCUGAAGAGAUUUACUCCCAGUGUGAAUAAUGUGUUGUUUGAUCCACAGUGGAAAAUCGAAAGACCAUCUUUUGACAGAAAGGUCCAGUCCAGUGCUGAUCAAUGAGGAUGCAGCAAAGUUUUCAAUACAUCUUGAAGAAGCCAACACAUAUCAGCAAAUAAUAUAUGGAAUUCUGGAGUAAAAAACAAGAUAUGAAGAUGACAAUAUUAUUUCUGUUUAGUACUAUUUGCUUUACUUUUAUUGAGUAUUUUUGUUAAAAAUAUAUUUAUUUUA